UCCACAGUUUGACGAGGUCGUUCCUAUUUUAGGCUCCCAGCAUGUUCCGGGGAUUGACCCCUUAGCUGUCAGUUGGCUUCGAGUACACAUCACUAGGUCCCACACAGCAGGUGGGCUUCCUUACUACAGGGAUGCACUUGACCAUCAGACGGACGAGCAGAUGACUUGGCAGCCAUAUACUGAUGCGAGACUGGCGUUGUUACCUGCUAUAUGUCGAGCUGAUCGACAUGUAUGGCGCACAGUGGCCCCACUUAUCUGUUUCGACAUUGUAGAGUUCCAUUUCCCUGGUCGAGUUAUGCGCCAGUUUGGAUUCGAGCAGACGAUUCCCGCACCUUCUGAUACGAGCACAACCCUUCAUGCCAUAGAUCGGAGGUCGAAGAACAAGAACUAUCCGCUCAGACAUCGACCUUACAUUGCACAUUGG